CGGGGGGAGCAAGCGUUGUUCGGAUUUACUGGGCGUAAAGGGCGCGUAGGCGGCCACGACAAGUCAGUUGUGAAAUCUCUCGGCUUAACCGAGAGCGGUCAACUGAUACUGUCGGGCUAGAGUGCAGAAGGGGCAACUGGAAUUCUCGGUGUAGCGGUGAAAUGCGUAGAUAUCGAGAGGAACACCUGCGGCGAAGGCGGGUUGCUGGACUGUAACUGACACUGAGGCAUGAAAGCGUGGGGAGCAAACAGGAUUAGAUACCCUGGUAGUCCACGCCGUAAACGAUGGGUACUAGGUGUGGGAGGUAUCGACCCCUUCCGUGCCGCCGUUAACACAAUAAGUACCCCGCCUGGGGAGUACGGUCGCAAGAUUA
rnacentral:rRNA from 1 species